rnacentral:rRNA from 1 species
AGCNCCNUNGGAUAAUUCCAGCUCCAACAGCGUAUAUUAAAGUUGUUGCANUUAAAAAGCUCGUAGUUGAAUUUCGGAAUCUGUCCGUUGGUCGGGCUUCAUUGUCCGUACUGGUGUGGUGGGUUCUUACCUUCUGAAUAACCAGCAUGCCAUUCAUUUGGUGCGCUGGGGAAGCAGGACUAUUACCUUGAAAAAAUUAGAGUGCUCAAAGCAGGCUAGUGCCUGAAUACAUUAGCAUGGAAUAAUAAAAUAGGACGGCAUGGUUCUAUUUUGUUGGUUUCUAGGAUCACCGUAAUGAUUAAUAGGGAUAGUUGGGGGCAUUAGUAUUCAAUUGUCAGAGGUGAAAUUCUUGGAUUUAUUGAAGACUAACUUCUGCGAAAGCAUUUGCCAAGGAUGUUUUCAUUANUCAAGAACGAAAGUUAGGGGAUCGAAGACGAUCAGAUACCGUCGUAGUCUUAACCAUAAACUAUGCCGACUAGGGAUCGGACGAUGUUAAUUUUUUAAUGACUCG